rnacentral:lncRNA from 1 species
UGUUAAAAAUCACUUUUUUUAAAGGUAGAAAUGAAUUUAGCCAUAUAUGAACUUUUUCUAAACAGAACAUUACUUUGUUGCCUAGAGAAAAAUAACUUGUUGUAUUUUCAUUCCAGUCUUAGAUUAUAUUUGUUCUUUUUUGUGUAACUGAAUUCUAACAUUUCUAAGAAAGAUAACUGCUGUUUACCACCUUGAGCCACCUGAGAUUUUAAUAUUCGUUUGUCAUUGUUGUAUCUUAUAGAGUAGAGCUCUUGAUACCUUGGUCCUCAAUCAGAAAUCCUUGCUAAAAGGGCCUUUAUUUUCCCCUGAUCAAAUGCUCUCUAAGUUACCAUUCUGUUACUGAGGCCUGUGUAGGCUGUGACCCCUAUCUAGAGAUAGGUACCUCAGGUCAGCACAGCCUGGACUGUAAGAAGGGUUGAAAGGAGAAUCAAGAUCCUAGAGAAGGAACUGCCUGACAAAGAUUUCAGGAAGCAGGAGUAAGGCCAGGGUUUCCAGACAAGCUGGCUUUCUACUUGAGUGACCUGCCCUAAAGUCCCUUUGAUUGAGUUAGGUACCUGAGAACUCACUGUGACAGUAAGUUCACUCACUUUUAGAAACUUUUGGAAAAAGUUUUGUAACUGUCCCUGAUAUCAGAAAUUAUCUUUCUGUCAGAUACUAAAAUAUUUUAAUUACCAAGGCCAUUCUAUAAGAAAGAAUAGUUAUACCCCAAAUUGUAUUAAUUUACUUUACAUAUUAAUGAAUGAACUAAUGAAAAUAAUGCUAAUUUUUUUUUGAGACAGGGUCUCAUUAUGUAUUCAGGCUGGCCUUGGACUCACUAUGUAGCCCAGGCAAUCUUCCUGUCUCAGCUUCCUGAGUGCUGGCAUUGCAAGUAUGUACCACCACACCCAGCUCAACACUUUUAAAUUCUUAAGCUCAGGUGUAUUAACAUUUGCUAUUUAUUUGUAGAAUAAUUUGUAGAAUUUUAUUUUCGAGAUAGUGCUUUAAAGAGUAUGAGCUGUUCAAGAUAAACUUCUGUGAAAUGAUUUUACUGCAUGCUGAAGGUUACACAAAUUGUUUCAAAUUUGGGUAGAAGGGGUUGGGGGAUUUUCUAAAGGUAACAUUUAGUCAAAAGUUUCCUCAAUAGAGUUAUUUGGAAAAGAUUCAGAAUGGUUAUCUAUUUGUUGUCUGUUUUCAUGUUGUCAUAUAACUAAAUGUAUUUACCUAUGCAAAACAUUUAUUAAAGCAUAGAAAUAAGUGAAUGAAUAAAAUCAAACAAUG